rnacentral:rRNA from 1 species
GACGUAGGGCGCGAGCGUUGUCCGGAUUUAUUGGGCGUAAAGAGCUCGUAGGCGGCUUGUCGCGUCGACUGUGAAAACCCGCGGCUCAACUGCGGGCCUGCAGCCGAUACGGGCAGGCUAGAGUUCGGUAGGGGAGACUGGAAUUCCUGGUGUAGCGGUGAAAUGCGUAGAUAUGUGGAGGAACACCUGUGGCGAAGGCGCCUUGCUGGCCAAUUUCUGACGCUGAGGCGCGAAAGCGUGGGGAGCAAACAGG